rnacentral:rRNA from 1 species
GACGAACGCUGGCGGCAUGCCUAACACAUGCAAGUCGAGCGAGUAGAUCCCUUCGGGGUGAAGCUAGCGGCGGACGGGUGAGUAACACGUGGGCAACCUGCCUCAUAGAGGGGAAUAGCCUUCCGAAAGGAAGAUUAAUACCGCAUAAGAUUGUAGUACCGCAUGGUAUAGCAAUUAAAGGAGUAAUCCGCUAUGAGAUGGGCCCGCGGCGCAUUAGCUAGUUGGUGAGGUAACGGCUCACCAAGGCGACGACGCGUGGCCGACCUGAGAGGGUGAUCGGCCACAUUGGGACUGAGACACGGCCCAGACUCCUACGGGAGGCAGCAGUGGGGAAUAUUGCACAAUGGGGGAAACCCCGAUGCAGCAAUGCCGCGUGAGUGUUGACGGCCUUCGGGUUGUAAAGCUCUGUCUUCGGGGACGAUAAUGACGGUACCCGAGGAGGAAGCCACGGCUAACUACGUGCCAGCCGCCGCCGUAAAAC